rnacentral:lncRNA from 1 species
AAGCGGCCUGCACGCCGCUCCCUCCUCCUAGGUCCCGACCCUAGGCUCCGGCCUCCGCAGCCGCCUGCGCAGAGCUUUCCGGGCCGGGCCACCGAGAAGCCACCGUGGGAGGUUCACGGCGCGAGGUUUCUCCUCCUCCCGCCCGCCCCCAGGGCCGAGGCCGUUGCCAGGGCGACGGAGCUUGCAGUCCAGAGGGGCUCGGCUCUUUCCGCGACUGGCGCAUCUUCGCCGUUCGGACCCCGCAGCCUCGCCACCCGAGAGAGACGGAGAGGCGGGGGCGCAGCAGGAGGCCCCCAACCCACCUGCGGGCCAGGGCCACGACACCAGGGGGACAAAGACACCCGGAACCACCGCAGCCGCCGCUGCCACCACCACCGGAAACGCCUCUCCGGAAGAGAGACCACUGGUCGGAAGCUGCCACUCUCCCGGAUAUGGUACCUCCCUCUUCUCCAUCGACCUCUCCCUUCCCCCACACCAGCCUGCCAUCCCGCUCCAACUGUGGAACGGAAGUGCGCCUUCCCAGAUCCGAUAAUGCCUUCGGAAGCCGAGCUCGGUGGUGUCCUCUCUCAAGUGUCCCAUCAGAAAAGUAAGCUCGAACCAUUGGUUCCAGGUCUCAAAAUGACUGGAACUGGACCCACUCCCACAAACACAAGGAAGGGGACUACCACUUACACACCCUGCUGUGCUCUACUAACCCCCAAGACUACAGCAACAAAAGAAGCAGGGCCUCCAUUGGCUAGAGGAGGAGCGUGCCUACUGGGGGUCCAUUUCCAGGGGAUAGUCUUCUGACUAAAGCCAAUGACCACCCCACCCCACCCCCAUCCCUAUUCCUGUCCUUUUCUUGACUGCACCAUCAGCAAGGGGUAAGCAUAUCCGAAAUCUAUACCCAGACUCUCAAAUAUGAAACGUACACGAUCUUAAUGAAGUGGCUCUAUCCAAAAUCUUGCCAGAAAUGUGGCUAUUUUCACAACUAUUAACAGUGAACACACACACACCUUCCUUUAACUUCUGGCCUCCCAUCUCCCCACUCCUGUUUGCCUCCAGCAUCACACCCUUCCCAGGUCAUUUAACAGUCACAGCACACAUUGAGAAUGUUUAAUGUUACUUCAUCCUCCUAACAAGCUUAUGAGGUAGGUAAGGUGGGUAUCAUGGUCCCAAGUAGGAAGCUGUGGCUCAGAAAUUAAGAGACUUCGCUAUGGUUAAACUCCAGGAUAGAACACAGCAUCUUAGAGUUGACCUUGCAAGUUAUGUGUUGUUCCUCUCAAUGUUCUUGACCUUCCCCCCAUCCCUCAUUCAGCCUUCAGGGGCUGUACUCCAGAGCCGUGACUCACUACAAAGGUACCCAAGGCAAUGUUGUUCUUGGUCCUAGGGCUGCCGUCUCAGGUAUGAGGAAGACAUUAGAAGUCCACAUUAGUAACUGUUCAUUGUGGAAUGAAGAUCGGUGCCAUCCUUCCAGUGACACCCCAAACACCAACCCUUUGGACGAAUGAUUCCAUCAGAUGGGGCAGACGGAAGUCCAACAAAGAUUGCAUAAACUUACAUCUGCAACAUGCUGACACACUCCCAUACUAAACAUGCUCUAUGAGCACCUGAUAAAUAAGUCAAUUCACAUUGCCUAAGCCCAGAGAUUUCUGAUGAGGAGGAAGAGCCCUGGAAGAGUGCUGGAACUGCACUCAGGAACCUCUUGGGGAUCCAGGGCUCCUUGCUUCGAUGCUUAGAGAUGGAUUUGGCCUUCACCUUGAAGAGGAGCAAGCACCAAUAGCUUUUCUUGGCAGUGCAGAGAAGCAGCAGUAAGCCAAAAUGUGAGGGACUUCUUCCCAAGGUCACCAGGUACACCAAGAGGUCAUACAGAAAGAUUUUUUGCUCGUGGCUUCUUAACCACCAAUGCUGGUAUAAAGGUCUUCCGUUGGGAAUGGCACGGAGUCCUGUCAGAGAGGUUUCUAAACUCCAUCCUAUAGAAAAGCAAAGGAAAGUUAGACAAGAAGAGAAAGAAAACAGACAAGAAGCUUUGCAUACCUCCUGAGGAGAAGCUGCCAACCAUGACAGACAGACUUCACCUACAGUAAAAUACUUUGCCUGUGUGUCUACCUUACCAGCCCCUAAAUUUCAGUGGUAAGGAGUGAGGGCUUGACACGUGAGGAUGAACAUGCCGCCCACAAUCUGGUAGUGGCUUCGGGAAAGCCACUGUUCCCAAUCUCAUGUCAUCUUCUGUCUCUUCACCAACAAAUAGGGCAUAUUUUUGUUUAGUUGGGUUUUUUUUGGGGGGGUUGUUUUGUUUUGUUUUGUUUUUUUUCAAGUCAGGGUUUCUCUGUGUAGCCCUGGCUGCCCUGGAACUCACUCUGUAGACCAGGCUGGCCUCGAACUCAGAAAUCUGCCUGCCUCUGCCUCCUGAGUGCUGGGAUUAAAGGCGUGCGCCACCAAGCCCGGCCAAAUGGGGCAUCUUAACUACAAGACAGGACACUACCAACAUCCUCGCCCAGCAGUCUCUCCCCACUGCCUAAAUCUAAAUCAGGCACAAGACUCACCUGGAUCCAGAACCAUCAGGGGGAACAGGAGGCUCAGGAAGUCGAGGGCUCCUCCAACGGAGCCGAUUGAGCAGAACUUUGACCUUAUCCCAGUGGGAGAGAUCCUGCUGAACAGAGAAUAAGGGCUCAUCUUAUUAUAGUACAUCUAUAUACUAUACAUCCCUAAUGAAGCUACCAGGAACUUCACUGCCCAAGCAAAUCACCUGCUCCAAACAGCAAUCCUGUCAUUUCCCUGUCAUUGCACUUACACAUUCCCAUGUUCCCCCACCCUGCACCAUUCUACUACCUGCUCCACAUAUAUCCAUCACUACCUUGGGUUCCUGGGAGGGUGGAAGGAUGUGGGUUGGUUCCAGCAAGGCCUCUGGCAGCCUAGAGGGGCUGGUGACAAGCACCCCCACUUCUGGAAGUGAAGCUGCCUCUGCACCUUCUGAAAGAGAACUACAUCAUCUGGGGCCAGAAACAAGCAGGAAGCAGCCCCACUAAGCUACGGUUUAGGGGUCUGCUGAUGGGACCCUGGGCAGGCACAUAGGCAGCAGAAUGCAGAGGAAGACACAGUUGCCCCUUACCUGGGUCCUUUGUCUGGCUUAGCUCCUCUCUGUGCUCCUGGACCCUAUUGUCUGGGAUAUGUGAUGAUGAAAGAGCUGGAGCCAAUACUUCCUCCUCAGGAUCCUGAGGCAGGCAAGAUGGAACAAGCAGAGACUCACUCGAAAGCUGAGGCUGUUCAGAAGGCAUUCAUGCUCCAGGGGUCCCACCCUCCCCCCACUUUCCUCCCUAACUGACCUGGCCACCUGCACCUGUACAUCACUCACCCUAGAGGGUCUCUGGGUCUGCAGCUGCAGGUACAGCUGCUGGAGCCUCACCAUCUGCUCCAGCACAAGGCACAGGUGUUCCAGAUAGCGCAAGCCCUGACCUGGAAGGCAGGUACAGGCUGCAGACUCCAUAUUACCAACCUGUGGGACACGUUAAGGUAGGAAGACCUUCAGAGUCAGCCAAAACUCCCAUUCUGGGUAGUCAGGCUGCACUGAGCCAACAAAAUGGAACACAGCAGACAAGCCAAGAAAGACACACUUGGCUGGCUUCCCCAGUGGCCAGCUGAGCAUGUCACCCAUACCUGUCUGCCUCCUCUGUGGGGGUGGCUACAUACUGCUGGGUGCGAAGUGAGACAGAAAGCAAUGACACAACCAUCAAUUAGGGACAAGGGAUGCCCCACCCCGAGAGAGCUCCAGGGAAAAUGGGGGGAAGGGUCCCCAUGAGCCACACCUCAGGGCUUUCUCCACCCCACCCCACCCUGCCCCACUCCACUGCACUUUAGCCAAGAUGAAUACUCGCCUCCUUUGCUUCUUCCAGACCAGCCUCUAGCUCAGUGUCUGCCUCCGUGGACUCCUGUUCUCCUGCAAAGAUGGGCACUCCAUCUACAGGCUUGUUCAGCAGUUGCAGGGGGCCACGCUGCGCAGACAAGCUGGGAAACUCUCGAGAUCUCUCCAGCACCUCCUCCAGCUUCUGUCUGGCCAGCAGCCGGUCUAGCUGAGCAGGAGGCAGCUCAGGGCUCCCCAUGGGCUCAAGGUUCAGAGAAUCUUGAGAAAGUCCUGAUAAGGUAGCCAAGGAGCUGUCCCCAACAACCAUCUCCAUGCCCGAGUCCUGGGAAGCCAGUUUCAGAAGUGGCAUCUGUCUCUCCAGACCUCUCAGCUCAUUCUGUCCCUCCCUGAAGUCCAGUGAACAUUCGUGAGUGUUGUCUGGUAUCCGUCUGUAGGUGCAAGUGACUCCUGGCACCACACAGCCUUGUGCCAGGUCCUCAAAGGCCCCAUCUGUAAGGAGAAUCCGUAUCAAGCUGGGCAGGAUGCCCUCAACGCCUCCAGCAUUCCUAGCACUCAACAGCAUUCCCUUGAGGAGGUGUGUCCUGUACCAGUGGUGAACAAAGACACAGGACAACCCCAUCCCCACUGGGAUAAAGUUCCAGCCUUGCUUGGAAGAUGUAUAGAUAGGGUUCUUAUAACAAUUGUUGACAGCCAACAGAAACCUACACUUCCAGCAUGUGGUAGGCAAAGUCCUUGCAAGUCAUGACAAACAGCAAUGCAGAUAGCUUAAGAGACCCUUAACUAAGAUUCACCUGAAACAAUCAAGUCUAAGUGCCUCGGACUUCCUGGAUAUGGGAGGGAGAAAGAGCGAAGUGAAGGACGGGGCUACACAGUGCUAUCUGGAGUCCCUGACACACCAGGAAGCAGAAUGAGGUAUCGCCUAGAGUUUAUGAGGACACUGGUAAAAAUGACAGCAACUGGGGCUGAGAUGUGACCCUGUGAGAGCUUUCAGAGAGUGCACACACAGGGCACUGGGUCCCAUCCUCACACUGCAAAACAGAAAUAGCAGCAGCAGCAAUAAAAACAAUGCCCCCUCCCCAAGGGUUUCUCUGUGUUCCAGGUUGUCCUGGAACUCACUCUCUAGACCAGGCUGGCCUUGAACUCAGAAAUUCGCCUGUCUCUGCCUCCCAAGUGCUGGGAUUAAAGGCAUGUGCCACCAUGCCCGGCUGGCAAUUAUAAUCAUUUAGAAUAAUUUUGUUUUUUUAAGCAAGAAAGGAUGAUCAUGUGACAAAUGGAAGUUUUUGGAGUUGGAUCAAUGAUUCAGUAUUUUAAAAUACUACUUUUCCAGAAGAUGGGCGUUGGGUGGGUCUUGGGUGGGUCUUGGGUUCCCAGCACCUACAUGGGUGUUCGAAACUCCAAUCCAAGGGCUCUGAGCCCCUCGUUUGACUUCCCCAUCCAGUCCACACAGGUAAAUCAGACAAAAGUAAAAAAUUUAAACAACAACAAAAACCUUUUAAGUAUAAACUAAGUAAAACAAGGAAACUG